rnacentral:tRNA from 1 species
GCCGGCGUGGCCAAAUGGUUACGGCGUUUCCUUCCUAGGCCGGGUUUUCGAAACCCGCGUUGGGGAUUUAGGUGAAGAUUGUGGGUUCGAUCCCCACCGUUGGUU